UACGUAGGGACCGAGCGUUGUCCGGAAUCAUUGGGCGUAAAGAGCGUGUAGGCGGCUAUUUAAGUCCUGCGUGAAAUCCUGCGGCUCAACCGCAGACGGUCGUGGGAAACUGGAUGGCUAGAGUGCGGGAGAGGAGAGUGGAAUUCCCGGUGUAGCGGUGAAAUGCGCAGAUAUCGGGAGGAACACCGGUGGCGAAGGCGGGUCUCUGGGCCGAUACUGACGCUGAGGAGCGAAAGCGUGGGGAGCAAACAGG
rnacentral:rRNA from 1 species